AAACGCUUGAAACCAGUCAUGUAGUUGGAAAAUCAGUGUUCAAUUGGGGGGAAUGAGGGAGUUGUAGACCGCAAGGCUACUCUUUUUUAUAUCUCUUUUGUUGGGCAUGCACUUUUUCUUCCGCAGGUCAACAUCAGUUUCUUUUGCUGGACAAAACUCUGGAGAAGGUAGCAGCUUAGGCUGUGUUAUAGCUCUGGAGCGAUACAGUGGAGGGGACUGAGGUUUUCGCAGCAUGUGCUCUCGGGCAAGGCCAAUUGGGUGCUAUGAGAUCGUUCGGGGUACAAUACAUGUAUUUUGCUUCGUGUCCUUUUCAUACUCGUCUAAUUGAGCUCUUCCAUGCUUAGGAUGUUGACUUAAUGGUUUUAAUCGA
rnacentral:rRNA from 1 species